rnacentral:tRNA from 1 species
CGGGGUGUGGCGCAAUUGGUAGCGUACUCGCAUGGGGUGCGAGCGGUUGGCAGUUCAAGUCUGCCCACCCCGA